AGCAGUAGCCACGGUAAUACGUAGGGUGCAAGCGUUAAUCGGAAUUACUGGGCGUAAAGCGUGCGCAGGCGGUUAUAUAAGACAGAUGUGAAAUCCCCGGGCUCAACCUGGGAACUGCAUUUGUGACUGUAUAGCUAGAGUACGGCAGAGGGGGAUGGAAUUCCGCGUGUAGCAGUGAAAUGCGUAGAUAUGCGGAGGAACACCGAUGGCGAAGGCAAUCCCCUGGGCCUGUACUGACGCUCAUGCACGAAAGCGUGGGGAGCAAACAGGAUUAGAUACCCGGUAGUCCCUGUCUCUUAUACC
rnacentral:rRNA from 1 species